CUGGCUCAGGACGAACGCUGGCGGCGUGCCUAAUACAUGCAAGUCGAGCGAACCAYUUCGGUGGUUAGCGGCGGACGGGUGAGUAACACGUGGGCAACCUGCCUGUAAGACUGGGAUAACUUCGGGAAACCGGAGCUAAUACCGGAUAAUCCUUUUCCUCWCAUGAGGAAAAGCUGAAAGWCGGUUUCGGCUGUCACUUACAGAUGGGCCCGCGGCGCAUUAGCUAGUUGGUGAGGUAACGGCUCACCAAGGCGACGAUGCGUAGCCGACCUGAGAGGGUGAUCGGCCACACUGGGACUGAGACACGGCCCAGACUCCUACGGGAGGCAGCAGUAGGGAAUCUUCCACAAUGGACGAAAGUCUGAUGGAGCAACGCCGCGUGAGCGAUGAAGGCCUUCGGGUCGUAAAGCU
rnacentral:rRNA from 1 species